rnacentral:rRNA from 1 species
AGAUACCCUGGUAGUCCAUGCCGUAAACGGUGGGCGCUAGGUGUGAGUCCCUUCCACGGGGUUCGUGCCGUAGCUAACGCAUUAAGCGCCCCGCCUGGGGAGUACGGCCGCAAGGCUAAAACUCAAAGGAAUUGACGGGGGCCCGCACAAGCGGCGGAGCAUGUGGAUUAAUUCGAUGCAACGCGAAGAACCUUACCUGGGCUUGACAUACACCAGAUCGCCGUAGAGAUACGGUUUCCCUUUGUGGUUGGUGUACAGGUGGUGCAUGGUUGUCGUCAGCUCGUGUCGUGAGAUGUUGGGUUAAGUCCCGCAACGAGCGCAACCCUUGUCUUAUGUUGCCAGCACGUGAUGGUGGGGACUCGUGAGAGACUGCCGGGGUUAACUCGGAGGAAGGUGGGGAUGACGUCAAAUCAUCAUGCCCCUUAUGUCCAGGGCUUCACACAUGCUACAAUGGUCGGUACAACGCGCAUGCGAGCCUGUGAGGGUGAGCGAAUCGCUGUAAAGCCGGUCGUAGUUCGGAUUGGGGUCUGCAACUCGACCCCAUGAAGUCGGAGUCGCUAGUAAUCGCAGAUCAGCAACGCUGCGGUGAAUACGUUCCCGGGCCUUGUACACACCGCCCGUCACGUCAUGAAAGUUGGUAACACCCGAAGCCAGUGGCCUGUCAUGGGAGCUGUCGAAGGUGGGAUCGGCGAUUGGGACGAAGUCGUAACAAGGU